rfam:Erinaceus europaeus unplaced genomic scaffold scaffold00554, whole genome shotgun sequence
AUGGCUUCUCGGCCUUUUGGCUAAGUUCAAGUGUAGUAUCUGUUCUUACCAGUUUAAUAUCUGAUACGCCCUCUAUCCGAGGACACUAUAGUAAAUGGAUUUUUGGAGCAGGGAGUUGGAAUGGGGCCUUGCUCCGUCCGCUUCACGUGUCAACCUGGUAUUGUAGUACUUCCAGGAAUGGUGCACCCCCA